CAAAAUCCCAUGAGACUGGAUGCUCCUGGUCUCUUAUCUUGCAGGUCCAAGCUGACAAGGAAAAGCAAGGGACAAGAAAAAACUCUCAUGACCCGAACAAUAACAAAUACAUCAUCAAGGAGAGAAACUUGGCUAAAUUUCUAUGUCAGCACACAUUUUCGGCAGGUGACUUCUUAAAAAAGGGAUUUAGGAAUUUGAUUCACUUCAACCAGCCACAAAUGAAGAUCACAUCCAGUCCUCAUGAGCUUAUUGAGGUACGUAGUGUUUUUGUUGGUUUCAGCUUUCUUAUUGUCAUAAUAACAUCACAAAUAGCUUUCUCUCCCCCACCUUUCCAGUUCUGAUUAUAUCAAAAUGCACUGCAGACAGUAAUCAUACCUUCCUCAUUAAGGCCCCAAUUAACACCAGGCAGAUGAUUCCCAUGGCAAUUCAAUUAAUCAGAUUUCAGGGACAGCUGAGCAAGCAGGUCUACUAAGGAAUCACAGAACACCCAGGUUUCCAUAGUACUCUAUAAUAAAUAUUGCUGAUGUUUUAGAAAUACCAAUUCUGGUACUGAACAUCUAGUAUAUGGUAUAGACUCAGGAACUAGGCUGGCCAUAAGAAAAGACAAAAUACUAUUAGCUGCCUAAGUAUACAAGUUCUCAAGCAACUUAAUUGAUUUCCCAGCAGACCUGCUCAGAGGCCUGAUAUGGCUUCUAAUAAAGCUCUUCCUACACUGACUUUAUGCAUUUUAAUUUGCACUCUCAAUUCAGUAUGGGUUUCCUAACAUCUCAAAUUAAACAAACUAUGAUAUAGUUCACUUCUGAAUUUACAGUAUACAGAAUUACUUAACGUAAACAUGUAGUUAUGGCAAUAGAGCCCUUCUCUUCAAGCUAUGUAUCAAUGUGUAAAGUCACAACUAAGAAUACAGGUAGAAAGUGUGAAUUGUUCAUGAAAUAUUCUUAAAGAAUCAGAAAAAUACAAACUGUCAUCUUUCCUUCCUGUUCCCAAAAGUUUUGGAAGUGGUACAGUAAAGAUAAUUGAACUUAACCUUGAAUAAAGACUAUUAUUAUCCUCACAUCUUUGAUUUGAUAGGAAAACUAGGAUAUAGAUCACAGCUGAAAGUGUUUGAAUCACUGAACCUCAAGAUGCACAAGGUUUGAACCUGUUUUUUGAUGAAUGAGUUCUUGGUUCCAUAUCGUCUGCUAGGUUCAGCAUUUACCUGUCUGAACUUACCAGUAGACAUCUACUACAAAAAAAUUCUCACUAAAAAAUAAUGGGGAAUAUUGAUUAAUGUGGCAUACAACUUGAAUAUUGUAAAUUAUUGAAAUUUAGAACCUAUAUGCUUGUUUCAGCUCAUACAACAGAAAAACAUCCUUUCCUCCUUUGCUGUGUAACUUCAGUGAUGCAUGUACAGUACUCUGGUCCAGCAUGCAGUGUUUUACAGUCAGUGCACAUCUCCCAGGGCACAUGCAUCUACCUGAACUUACCUGACGAAAGGAAACUCUCUUCAAAGUCUCUUGGCUUUUAUCUAAAUACAAACCUAUCUUUCAGAUGUAAAGUGCUUUAUAAAUACAUGAAAGUGUAGAUGUAUGUAUGUCUGUUUCUAUUUAUGCCAAAUAAUUACUGUAACUUGCAGCCACCUUUGUUGAUCGUACUGAAAUCAAUUAUAAUCAGACCUACUCCUUGCUGUGAUGAAUUAGUGGGCUUUUUCUUUCCUAGUAUUUUGAAGAAAAUUAAACAUUUUGACAGAUUAUAGAGAUGUUGAAAUGGAUUCUUUAUUUCUUUUGUUUUAAAUGAAAUGGUUUGUUACAGAACCUACUUGCUAAAUAAAUAUUAACAUUGAAGUUAAUACACUUUUUCAGUUCUUAAGCUUAAUAAUGGAUGUUUUCUUGCCUUUGCAGGAGGAUAACUGUGUGUUUUCUUUAAAAGCAGGCAGAUUGUUUAUAGAUUUGAAACACUAAAAUAAAUUCUGAAUAUAUGGAAGAUGUUAAUCUGUUUUCUUUUCCCAUGAUAACAAAGGUUAAUUGGAAGAUCCUGUGCAGCCAUAAACUCAAGCUCAUGCAAGUACAAACUGAAAACAGACCAGAAAAGAAAUUCAAAAGUGAAUGUGAUACUGAGUCACAAUAAAAUCCAAACUGCCUUUACAAACAAAAAUCUUUCACUUCAUGUAAAAACUUCACAAUGAAAUAUCUUUUCUUGUUUUAUUUUAACAAAUUUUGCAGACAUGCAUGUUCCAGUGAUGUUUAUGUUGUUAUCAGCCACUGCUUCAACUGUUUUAGUGUAUCCUGAAUAUGUGAACACCUAGGACUGCUAGGACACCUAGUUUGGGCUGUGUUAUGUCCAAUACAUAUUUUUCUACAUAGUGGUUGUAUACCGAGUCUAGUUAGUAUUUUAGAAUGGAAGAUCUGAUCUCUCUUAGAAUGGCAGAUCUCACUGUGGCCUUCCAGUACUUAAAGGGAGCAUAUAAACAGGAGGGGGAAUGGCUGAUUACAUGGGUGAAUAGUGAUAGGACAAGGGGGAAUAGUUUUAAACUGGGACAGGGGAGGUUUAGAUUAGAUAUUAGGAGGAAGUUUUUCACUCAGAGGGUUGUGACACACUGAAACAGGUUGCCCAAGGAGGCUGUGGAUGCCCCAUCCCUGGAGGCAUUCAAGGCCAGGCUGGAUGUGGCUCUGGGCAGUCUGGUCUGGUGGUUGGCGACCCUGCACAUAGCAGGGGGGUUGAAACUCGCUAAUCUUUGAGGUCCUUUUCAACCCAAGCCAUUCUAUGAUUAUAUGAUCUGUUAGGGAUACCUUCUUUUAGGCUGCUUUGGAAGUUUUAGGAGAAUUACUGUCACCCUUUUUCUAAGUGCUAGUUGGACAAAAUUUCUCAGUAUGCUGGAAGUACAGAUGAACACAAAUGGUUUGUCUAGAGAUCUCUCUAGUCCAUCUAUAGAGGGAUUAAUGAAGCUUUCCACCAAUGACACCCGCAGUAAGAAGCACUCCCAAAGGGCCAGGAGCAAAUGAGAUGAAGAAGACCUGAGGGAAUACCUUCUUUUCCCAUAUUUUUAUUCUGCCUGAACAUAUACUCCAGAGAUUUUGUCUAUUGGGUGAAAAAGAAUAUCUGAGUAAGGAGAGCUGCGGUUCAUCCCACCAGUACCUCAUAUGGAGAAGAUGGUCCCUAGAGGACUGUUCGUGCCAAUUACAGAGCUUGAAUUGUACAGUAAUAUUGAAAAUGGUGAUCAAACACCACUGGUGAUGUUUGAUGCAAGUGACCAAUGCAGUGUAGAUUCUCCCUCUGAAUAAAAUUAUAUUUAAAAAAAUAUUGUUCAAGAAAAUGUUAUUGUACCUGAAGGGGGUCUGCAGGAAAGCUGAGGAGGGACUUUUUAUAAAGGCAUGUAAAAACAGGAUGAGGAAAAAUGGUUUUAAACCAGAAGAAGGUAUAUUUAGAC
rnacentral:lncRNA from 1 species